rnacentral:tRNA from 1 species
GGCUCAUUGGUCUAGUGGUAUGAUUGUUGCUUCGGGUAAUUCCCAUGCUGUUAAGGCAUUUCUAGACGAUGAUGUGACAGGCCUCGGGUUCGAAUCCCGAAUGAGCCC